rnacentral:lncRNA from 1 species
CAGAAGGUCACAAACAGGUCUUCAAUGUAGCGAGAAAUUCCCGCACCCGGAGGCGUCCUUCAGCUGGCCCCUAAACAAAUAUAUACUAGUUCAGUGAUAAUGAACGCCAUACUAAUUUCCAAAUUGUACACAAGAAACUAAAAUUAAAAUAAUACAAGACUAACAAAGGCCAGAGGCUCCUGACUUGGGGCAGGCACAAAAAUGCGGCGGGGUUAAACAUGUUUGUGAGAUCUCAACCCUCCCCCUAUACCUCUAGCCCAUGUAGAAAAGUAAACGCAUAACAAUACGCACAUUAAAAUUCACUUCAAGAGAAGUCCGAGUCUGAUGUCAGAAGAUGUAACCAAAGAAAAUAAACAAAAUGACAAUAAUACAUAAAUAACAACAGACUACUAGCAGUUAACUGACAUGCCAGCUCCAGAC